rnacentral:rRNA from 1 species
UACGAAGGGGGGCUAGCGUUGCUCGGAAUGACUGGGCGUAAAGGGCGCGUAGGCGGUUUGUACAGUCAGAGUGUGAAAUUCCUGGGCUCAACCUGGGGGCUGCAUUUGAUACGUGCGGACUUGAGUGAGGAAGAGGGUCGUGGAAUUCCCAGUGUAGAGGUGAAAUUCGUAGAUAUUGGGAAGAACACCGGUGGCGAAGGCGGCGACCUGGUCCUUGACUGACGCUGAGGAGCGAAAGCGUGGGGAGCGAACAGG